CCCUUAGAUGUUCUGGGCCGCACGCGUGCUACACUGAGUGGAUCAGCGGGUCAGGUUGCGCGAAAGUGUUUCCUAAUCUUUAAAUCCGCUCGUGAUGGGGAUUGACGGUUGCAAUUUUCCGUCAUGAACGAGGAAUACCUUGUAAGCGCGGGUCAUCAUCCCGCGCUGAAUACGUCCCUGCCCUUUGUACACACCGCCCGUCGCUCCUACCGAUUGAGUGGUCCGGUGAGGCUUUGGGAUCUGGGCGGAAGGAGCGUUUCGCUGUUUCUGCCCGGAAAACUCAGUCGAACCUUAUCAUUUAGAGGAAGGAGAAGUCGUAACA
rnacentral:rRNA from 1 species